rnacentral:rRNA from 1 species
GUCAAUGCUCGCAAGAGUGAACUAGCUAACUGAAAUCACAGGAUCCAUUACGUAUGGUGAAUGUAAUAACGUAAGGGAAAAAAAUGAUAUUACCUUACUAUUAGUGUUGUCCAAAACUGGUGCCAGAAGACUCGGUAAGGCCAGAGACGCAAACGUUAGUCGUCCUAAUCAGGCGUAAAGGGUAUGUAGGCUGCUUUAAAAGUUUUAUAUUAAUAGCUAAUGUAUUAAAAUAUAAUAUAAAAAAAAAGUAUUUUAUACAUAAAAAUAUAAGAUGAAUUAAAGCUAGGAUCAAAUGGAGGAUAAGUCAAAUAAUACCUAGUGUAGGGUUUAAAUCUGUUGAUGUUAGGUAGAGUACUAAUGGUGAAAGCUUUUUAUCUAAUAAUGAUUGACGCUGAGAAACGAAGGUGAGAAUAGGAAAUAGGAUUAGAUACCCAGAUACCUCUCACAGUCAACGAUGAAUGGUGGUUGUUAGUUUUAUUUAACUGAUAACGAUGUUAACACGAUAACCAUUCCGCCUUGCGAGUACGGUUGCAAAACUGAAACCAAAAAAAUUAKUCGGUCUCGAAGCAAACGAAGUG